rnacentral:rRNA from 1 species
UACGGAGGGUGCAAGCGUUAAUCGGAAUUACCGGGCGUAAAGCGCGCGUAAGCGGUUUUUUAAGUCGGAUGUGAAAGCCCCGGGCUCAACCUGGGAACUGCAUCCGAUACUGGAAGACUAGAAUGCGGGAGAGGGAGGUAGAAUUCCAUGUGUAGCAGUGAAAUGCGUAGAUAUAUGGAGGAAUACCAGUGGCGAAGGCGGCCUCCUGGCUCGACAUUGACGCUGAGGUGCGAAAGCGUGGGGAGCAAACGGG